CUCUCCCUGUGCGUCUUCUCUGUGUGUCUUCCUGGGAAUGUAUACCCUGAGUCUUGCUACGUCUUCCUGUGUUCCCAGUGCUCUUGUUUUUACCUGUGGCAUUUGAAUUAAAGCAAGCAACCAGUUGACAUGGAGUCUGCACCUGGGGUCAGAACUAGUCUCCAACAUAUUGCACAAGCAGAGCAUCAAAAAAUAUAUAGCCAGGACAUCCUUGGGAGGUCGACAAAGCUUCAUGACGACCACGCCAAAGGAUUCUGAAAACUGUUGAUCCCAGUUGCCUCGUGGCCGCUCUGUCUUACCUACAGCAAACAUGCAGCGGAUGUUUUUACUUGGCAGGACGGGGAAGUCUUUGAAACUGCAUCUAGACCGACUUAAAACAAAGAAAUAAACAACAUUUUUGUGG